ensembl:snoRNA SNORA70 Small nucleolar RNA SNORA70
CUGGAGCCAAUUAAGCCAACUGUGCUCUUUCCCUAGAGGGGCCUGAUGUGCCAUGGCUGCAAACAGUAGCUUCCUUGGUAGUGCAUGAAGCCUGCUGCUUCUAGGAGUUGCCUUAAGGGACCUUGGAGACAGAG